GACGCCAUUGCACUCCAGCCUGGGCAACAGAACAAGACUCUGUCUCAAAAAAAUAAAUAAAUAAGAAUCCAAGUCCUCUUCCCAGACAUUAUCUCUUUUAAUCCUGCAUGUAUGCAUGGGAAUCAGGGAUCAUUUUCCUCUUCUAACCCAAGGAGAAAUUGUUCAGCAGAGGGUUGGGUUUGGUCAGGACAGCAUUAAGGUUUGUAGCCUGGGUUUCUGAAGGCUCAAACUAUAUUUCACAGGUCGGGGACGUUUGAAGUACUAGGUGGAAAAUAUCACAUAAGGCAGGAAGGAGGGCUCAAGAAUGUCAUUUCUUCCUUUAAGAUAGGAACAAUUUUCAGAUACAGGAUGUGGUGAAGAUGACCAGGUAAUGUAUGUUGAACUCCAACAGAGAUCUGUGUUUUUCCUGAAUGUAUUGAGUGGAUCAAAUAUAACAAGCUGGAUAAUUUCCCUCUAAUGAAUAACUGACUGUUUAAAAUUGUAUGGAAGUCCUUUGGCCUGCAAGCUGGCAUUUGGAUAUUUGAUGAUGGGUCUUUACUCUUUAAUGGGUUCUCAGAACUUAACUUUGCAACUUGUCAACUAAGGUGCUCCUUGCUUGGGUCCAAUCCAUCUUAAUUCC
rnacentral:lncRNA from 1 species